rnacentral:lncRNA from 1 species
AAGUCACACGGGCGUGUCAACUCCGAUGAUCCGAACGAUAAAUUUGCUUCCGUAAUUAUUGCACAUAAGUAGUGCAGAUUGACGAAACGAUGGUCAAGAAUCACUACAACUCGACGCUGUGGACGGCAGCGGUGAAUCCCUUCGUGCCCCCCAGCUCUGAGCCCCCCAGCCCCCGGCCCCCUCCCACGCUGGCCGGUUGGCGACGCGUCGCGUCACCACCGCACCGGCCGGCGCGGCGGGGUGCGGCGAGCCGCUCGCAAUGUUUUGCUUCGGUAACCUUGCACAGUACUAAAUCGAACUGCACCGGUCGCGGAUCCCCAGUCACACUCAUCUUGAAUUUAUCCAUUUUUUUUUUGCACUCUUAUUCAUUCGAUUUUUCCCCGAGAGAAAGAACCUUUAGUGAGUGUUUGUGUUCUGGUGAAUGGAUGUUUCGGUGCGCGUUAAGUUGAGUGAAUCCGGCGGGAAAAUGCAGAACUUAGUGCGUCUUACGCUGAUCGCGGCGUGUCUCUGCGCCGCAACCGGCACCCCGCUCCCCGCGCCAGCCCCCGUCGCCAGACGUGCUGACCGCAGUGACCAAAGUGAAGCAUACGCUGCAUCAGAAGAUCACCUAUUCAACGACGAGGGUUUCCCUUUGAGAGCCAGCGCCCGGAUCGGAGAUGCCGGCUCGAACCCUGAUUCAGAGGCGCGAGGCUUCUCGGGCAUCGUGGGCAAUACAAGGGGUACCGCAGACCCGCCUCGCCUGUCCCUGCAGAGCUCCGUGCUGGCGACCAACCUCCUUUCAAUGAUCCAUUCUCUGGUUUCUUCUUCGACAUGCAAGAAAGGGAUUUUGCUGAUCCACGUGCAUUAG